rnacentral:lncRNA from 1 species
GCUUUGUAAUGUGUCAGGUUGACUAGAUUGAAUUACAUUUCCCUUACCUCUAUGUUUCCAGGUAAGGAGGGUCACAAGAGAGAUUCUUGUGUGAGAUCUGGUGGUGGGAGAGAAGCAGCAACCUUCAUUGUUCACCUUCCAAUUCACCCUAUUGGUGUGAUACGGCAGCCAGGCCAGCAACUGCUCCAUCUUCUCCUAUACUCUCCUUCAACUGCUCUGACUCUUGGGCCAGGAGCGGUGAAAAAGAAGAGGCAAGACCGGCCCCCAGACCGACCAAAGCCCACGUGCCGCCACACCCCACGCCCAGCGCGCCGACGUCCCGCCACUGUCGCUGCCACCAUCAUGCCCAAGAGCUGAAGGGGAUGCUAGAGAUAAAGCCAAGGUGAAGGACGAACCACAGAGAAGAUCCGCGAGGUUGUCUGCUAAACCUGCUCCUCCAAAGCCAGAGCCCACGCCUAAAAGGCCCCUGCAAAGAAGGGAGAGAAGGUACCCAAAGGGAAAAAGGGAAAAGCCGAUGCUGGCAAGGAGGGAAAUAACCCUGCAGGAAAUGGAGAUGCCAAAACAGACCAGGCACAGAAAGCUGAAGGUGCUGGAGAUGGCAAGUUGAGUGUAUGCAUUUUGGAUAACAGUGUACUUCUGGUGACUGUACAGUUUGAAAUACUAUUUUUUAUCAAGUUUUAUAAAAAUGCAGAAUUUUGUUUUACUUUUUUUUUAAGCUGUGUUGUUAGCACACGGAACACUUCAUUGCUGUUUUUGGGGUAAGGGGCAUAUGUCACUAAUAGAAUGUCUCUGAAGCUGGAUUGAUGUGAGGAAAACAACUUUCCCUUCUAGUUUUGAGAGACUUCCUCUUGGCUCCCAGGAGGAGGGAUUCCCUGACUUUGACACACAUGGCCACCUUGGCACAAAAGCCUUGUGGUAU